CGCGCCUUGGCUACCGGGAGCGCGUAUCCUCCUCCGGCGAGACUGGCGAGAGAAGCGGGCCAUCGCUGCCCCGACCGCGAGCACUGAGGACAUCAUGAGCUCCAGAAAAGUGAUGGCUAUCCAGGCUCGAAAAAGGAGGCCGAAAGGGAAGAAAGACAAGACGACUCACCAUCGAAGGCAAGUAAUGAGGGGCGGCGGUCGGUUCGCGGUGCGACUUGUGUGUGUUUGUGUCCGACAGCGAGUGAUGCAGUCAACAUCACAGGGCUGUUAAUGUGGACAGUGUCGGAUCUCUGGCUGUAUACAGACCUUUAACGGCCAUGUCACACACACACACACACACACACACACACACACACACACACACACACAUACAGGCGAUCGUUCAGCUGUACAGCUCAGUAUUCCAGGCUGCAGUAAUGGCCGGAGCGGAGCGAGUCGGAAGUUGCUCAUGGCAACGGAGGCAGUUUGUGGGUAUGUUUAUUUCUUCCGUGUUCGUGUUUACGUUUCAUAUCGCUGUUGUUUACAUAUAAAUACAGUCUGUAUCCACACCGAAAGAAAUGAAUACAUUGUACAUACAGGGUUAGGGGAUGGAGGGGUGACAUGACAUGACAGGACACGACACGACGUGACAGGACAGGACGUGGGCUGUGCACGAGACUUACGCUCUCCGUCUACCGUACUCGGUAGUAUGUCCGCCUGCACUGCUGCACCACAGAUCAGACACACACCGCGCAGUUCAGCGGUUUAGGACGGAGCAGCUGAGUUGAACUGGGCGCGCGUGUGUGUGUGUGUGUGUGUGUCAGACAUGAGUUCUGGGAGAAGCAUCAAGGAGACGCGUGUGUAAAAAACAACAACAACAACAACAAAAAAAGCCCGGAACGUAUUAUACGCUCGCGCAGGGUUGCUGGAAACUGGUCGGUGUGGACAGUGACGUCAGCGGGCAGCCGUUAAGGUGAUUCCCUGUUUCCCGCCACUCUCUCGCGCUCCAGUCCAGAAUGUGCUGGAAUAAACUGCUGAACUGGAAUAGACCUUCACUGAACUGAUGUAGGCGACAAUACUGAUCCCACAGACAGACAGACACGACACACCCCUGACACUCAGACCCAGACCAUAAACAAUCACUAACCCCUAAUUAAGAAAAAAAUAAUAAUAAUGAAAAAGAGUCGAUGGGUGCAUAUACAGGACGGCAUGUUGGCUUAGUCGUUAGCACGUUUGCCGGGGUUGGGGGUUUGAAUCCUGUCUCCGCCCUGUGUGUGUGGAGUUUGCAUGGUCUCCCUGUGCUUCAGGGGUUUCCUCCAGGUUCUCCGAUUUCCUCCCCCAGUCCAAAGACGUGUUGUAGGCUGAUUGGUAUUUCCAGUGUGAAUGAAUCAAUGUGUGUUUGUGCCCUGUGAAAGGUUGACACCCCAUCCAGAGUGUCCACUGCCUUGUGCCCCGUUUUCCCUGGGACAGGUUCCAGGCACCCCCACAACCCUGUGUAGGAUAAGCGGUAGGGAAAAUGGAUGGAUGAAUGGAUGGAUGGAUGGGUGCAUAUACAGUUUUGAUCACAGGUAAAUACAACCUGUGCUCCACAUAAAGUUAGCUCUUAGCAUCUAGAGCAGGGGUGGGCAAUCUUAUUCGGAAAGGGCCAGUGUGGGUGCAGGUUCUCAUUCCAACCAAGCAGGAGCCACACCUGAUUCCACCUAUUUAAUCAGUUGAUCUUGGCUUUCAGUAGAUUCAGGUGUGGCUUCUGCUUGGUUGGAAUGAAAACCUGCACCCACACCGGCCCUUUCUGGAUAAGAUUGCCCACCCCUGAUCUAGAGUAUCUUGCUGGCAUUAAAUUCAUAACCCUGUAUGACUGCAGGAUUCACACUAGCUAAGCAGCAGGCGACUAUUCAUUUCCUGUGUAAUUUUUCAACACAGAGAUCGGGUGUGGGGAACAGCGACAAGUGACGUGACAACAGUACAACAUUUUGUUGCACGAGUCCAGUUUUCUCAAUUUUAUGUGAAUUAGUUAUGAUGCAAUAGGGGAAAAAAUUAAUUAUGGUCUCCAUUAAUUUCUUUGACUAAUUGGAUGUCCAGUGUCCUCCCAGUCAUAUAGUUCUACAAGUGUUUAGUCUCAUUUAAAAGUGUUUGGAGUUUAAAAAAAGAGAAAUAACACCUCACCCACCCCCCCACCCCCGAUUACUAGCAAAAUGACAUACAGUAUCUCGCUAGCUCGUUUAUGUUCCCUUUGAACAUGUUUCCGAAGCCUUCAGACGAUCGGAAAACAAUGUGAAGCCGUUCGGAGAAGUCAGUCUCUCACGUUCGCAGUGAUAGUCCAAUAAGUGUAAAGUGAUGUUACUUAUAAUCCAACCCUAAAAAGACUUGGCGGUUAAGAGCACAGAAUGCUGCUGAUGUAAAUACUGAUCAUUACUUUCAGCAUUCUGAAAGGAGACCUUGGUCUUGUCAGAGAUUGUAAAAGAUCAAGACCAGAUUCAGAAUCCUCAGUUCUACACCAUGUUUAUCAGGUUUGAGUGGUCUCAAGCCUCAAACCAUGAAGUGGGCUCACUUGCAGCUGGGUGUCUUAUACACUAUGUGGCCAAAAGAAUGUUGACACCUGACCAUCACACCUAACCAUCACUCCAAACUGUUGCCACGAAUUGGAAGCACAUAAUUAUAUAGAAUAUCUUUAUAUCCUGUAGCAUUACAGUUUGUCUUCAGUGGACUUAAGAGGCCCGAAUUAUGUUCCAGCAUGACAAUGCCCCUGUGCUCAAAGUGCUCAAAGUGUUCAAAGCUCCAUGAAGACAUGGUUUGCUGAGGUUGGAGUGGAAGAACUCGAGUGUCCUGCACAGAACCCUGACCUCAACCUCACUGAACACCUUUGAGAUGAACUGGAACACCGACUGCACCCAGACCUCCUCACUUGACAUCAGCACCUGAACACUCUAAUGCUCUUGUGGCUGAAUGAGCAGAAAUCCCCACAGCCGCGCUCUCGAAUCCAGUGGAAAGCCUUCUCAGAAGAGUGGAGGUUGUUAUACCAGCAAAGGGGAACAAAAUCUGGAAUGGGAUGUUCAAUAAGCACAUACUGUCGUGCAGAAACUUUUCACCAUAUAGACUGUCUUCACUAAUAAGAAUGUAGAGUAAAGACACCACAUGUGGGGUCUCAUAUAUAUAUAUAUAUA
ensembl:lncRNA